GUUAAAAAGCUCGUAGUUGGAUCUCGGCAAGUAGAGGGCGGUAUGCUUCGUAGCAUUACUGCCCUAUUACUUGUAGUUUUGCCAGAGGUUCCUGGGUGCUCUUAAUCGAGUGUCUAGGGAUGCUGGCAGGUUUACUUUGAAAAAAUUAGAGUGCUCAAAGCAGGCUAUUACGCUUGAAUAUUCGUGCAUGGAAUAAUAGAAUAGGAAGUUGUUUCUAUUUUGUUGGUUUUCGGAAAUCGACUUAAUGAUUAAUAGGGACAGUCGGGGGCAUUUGUAUUCAAACGACAGAGGUGAAAUUCUUGGACCGUUUGAAGACAAACUACUGCGAAAGCAUUUGCCAAGGAUGUUUUCAUUAAUCAAGAACGAAAGUUAGAGGUUCGAAGGCGAUUAGAUACCGCCCUAGUUCUAACCAUAAACGAUGCCAGCUAGCGAUCUGAGGACGUUUUUUUUGUAGACUCCUCAGGAAGCUUCCGGGAAACCAAAGCGUGUGGGUUCCGGGGGAAGUAUGGUUGCAAAGCUGAAACUUAAAGGAAUUGACGGAAGGGCACCACCAGGAGUGGAGCCUGCGGCUUAAUUUGACUCAACACGGGAAAUCUCACCAGGCCCGGACACUGGAAGGAUUGACAGAUUGAGAGCUCUUUCUCG
rnacentral:rRNA from 1 species